ACUUGUUUGGCCAUUUGACACUAAAAUAUCACAACAAACAUAUGAAGGUAUUAAAAUAGUUUAAAUUUACUUUUGAUUGUUAACUUACCGGUAUCUUAAUCAUGUAAUAGACAUACUGGAAUGCGGAAGCAACCCUUGUCAAAAUGGUGGGACCUGCGUGGAAGGAAUUAAUCGUUAUGACUGCAUUUGUCCAUCUGGUUGGACAGGUCCCACUUGUGCAGUUGAGGUGUUAGAGUGUGGUAGUUCACCAUGUCAGAAUGGUGGAACUUGCAUUGAGUCAGUUGGUGCUUAUACUUGCAAUUGUGCCCCUGGCUACCAAGGACGAGUUUGCGCUGAAGAUAUUAAUGAGUGCAGCAGCACUCCGUGCAUGAACGGAGCAGCUUGUGACGACUUUGUUAAUUUCUUCCGAUGUCGGUGCGCUCCAGGAUACCAGGGUACAUUCUGUGAACAAGACUACAAUGAAUGUAAUAGCUCACCGUGUACAAAUGGCGGUACUUGUAGUGAUAUAACAAAUGCUUACAUUUGUAGCUGUCCUGCUGGUUUUACAGGAAUUCGUUGUGAAAUAGGUGAAAGUUUUGAUUGUUUUUAGCACUGGUGCAAACAUGCUUGAGAUGCUCAAAUUGCUUACUGCAAUGCAC